rnacentral:rRNA from 1 species
GACGUAGGGCGCGAGCGUUGUUCGGAUUUAUUGGGCGUAAAGAGCUCGUAGGCGGUCUGUCGCGUCUGCUGUGAAAACUCGCGGCUUAACCCCGGGCCUGCAGUGGGUACGGGCAGACUAGAGUGCGGUAGGGGAGACUGGAAUUCCUGGUGUAGCGGUGAAAUGCGCAGAUAUCAGGAGGAACACCGGUGGCGAAGGCGGGUCUCUGGGCCGUAACUGACGCUGAGGAGCGAAAGCGUGGGGAGCGAACAGG